rnacentral:rRNA from 1 species
CCUACGGGAGGCUGCAGUGGGGAAUAUUGGACAAUGGGGGGAACCCUGAUCCAGCCAUGCCGCGUGUGUGAAGAAGGCCCUCGGGUUGUAAAGCACUUUCAGUGAGGAAGAACGCCUGGUGGUUAAUACCCAUCAGGAAAGACAUCACUCACAGAAGAAGCACCGGCUAACUCCGUGCCAGCAGCCGCGGUAAUACGGAGGGUGCGAGCGUUAAUCGGAAUUACUGGGCGUAAAGCGCGCGUAGGUGGCUUGAUAAGCCGGUUGUGAAAGCCCCGGGCUCAACCUAGGAACGGCAUCCGGAACUGUCCAGCUAGAGUGCAGGAGAGGAAGGUAGAAUUCCCGGUGUAGCGGUGAAAUGCGUAGAGAUCGGGAGGAAUACCAGUGGCGAAGGCGGCCUUCUGGACUGACACUGACACUGAGGUGCGAAAGCGUGGGUAGCAAACAGGAUUAGAUACCCCUGUAGUC